GACGAACGCUGGCGGCGUGCCUAACACAUGCAAGUCGAACGGAGUGAUGACUUCGGUUAUCACUUAGUGGCGAACGGGUGAGUAACGCGUGAGAAACCUGCCUUUCAGUGGGGGACAACAGUUGGAAACGACUGCUAAUACCGCAUAAUGUUAUCGAGCGGCAUCGCUUGAUAACCAAAGCUUUAUGUGCUGAAAGAUGGUCUCGCGUCUGAUUAGCUAGUUGGUGAGGUAACGGCUCACCAAGGCGACGAUCAGUAGCCGGUCUGAGAGGAUGAACGGCCACAUUGGGACUGAGAUACGGCCCAGACUCCUACGGGAGGCAGCAGUGGGGAAUAUUGGGCAAUGGGGGGAAACCCUGACCCAGCAACGCCGCGUGAAGGAAGAAGGCCUUCGGGUUGGUAAACUUCUUUUACCUAGGGACGAACACAAUGACGGUACCUGGAGAAAAGACAACGGCUAACUACGUG
rnacentral:rRNA from 1 species